GCCUGGCUGGCUCAGUCGGUAGAGCAUGUGACUCUUAAUCUCAGAGUCUUGAGUUCAAGUCCCAUGUUGGGUG
rnacentral:tRNA from 1 species